rnacentral:rRNA from 1 species
UACAGAGGUCCCAAGCGUUGUUCGGAUUCACUGGGCGUAAAGGGUGCGUAGGCGGUCGGGUAAGUCUGAUGUGAAAUCUCACAGCUUAACUGGGGAACUGCGUGUGGGACUGGCGAGCUUGAGGACAGGAGAGGAACGCGGAAUUCCAGGUGUAGCGGUGAAAUGCGUAGAUAUCUGGAGGAACACCGGUGGCGAAGGCGGCGUUCUGGACUGUUUCUGACACUGUAAAACGAAAGCCAGGGGAGCAAACGGG